rnacentral:rRNA from 1 species
CCUACGGGAGGCUGCAGUGGGGAAUAUUGCACAAUGGACGAGAGUCUGAACCAGCCAAGUAGCGUGAAGGAUGACUGCCCUAUGGGUUGUAAACUUCUUUUAUAUGGGAAUAAAACGUUCCACGUGUGGGAUUUUGUAUGUACCAUAUGAAUAAGGAUCGGCUAACUCCGUGCCAGCAGCCGCGGUAAUACGGAGGAUCCGAGCGUUAUCCGGAUUUAUUGGGUUUAAAGGGAGCGUAGGUGGAUUGUUAAGUCAGUUGUGAAAGUUUGCGGCUCAACCGUAAAAUUGCAGUUGAAACUGGCAGUCUUGAGUACAGUAGAGGUGGGCGGAAUUCGUGGUGUAGCGGUGAAAUGCUUAGAUAUCACGAAGAACUCCGAUUGCGAAGGCAGUUCACUGGACUGCAACUGACACUGAGGCUCGAAAGUGUGGGUAUCAAACAGGAUUAGAUACCCUUGUAGUC